UUAUCCGACCCCUUGGGCCCGCGCGGCCGGGCCCUAGAGUUUGAUCUUGGUUCAGGACGAACGCUGGUGGCGUGCCUAAUACAUGCAAGUCGAGCGAACAGAUGAGAAGCUUGGUUGUCUGAUGUCAGCGGCGGACGGGUGAGUAACACGUGGGUAACCUACCUAUAAGACUGGGAUAACUCCGUGAAACCGGGGCUAAUACCGGAUAAUAUUUUGAACCGCAUGGUUCAAUAGUGAAAGACGGUUUCGGCUGUCACUUAUAGAUGGACCCGCGCCGUAUUAGCUAGUUGGUAAGGUAAUGGCUUACCAAGGCGACGAUACGUAGCCGACCUGAGAGGGUGAUCGGCCACACUGGAACUGAGACACGGUCCAGACUCCUACGGGAGGCAGCAGUAGGGAAUCUUCCGCAAUGGGCGAAAGCCUGACGGAGCAACGCCGCGUGAGUGAUGAAGGUCUUCGGAUCGUAAAACUCUGUUGUUAGGGAAGAACAAAUUUGUUAGUAACUGAACAAGUCUUGACGGUACCUAACCAGAAAGCCACGGCUAACUACGUGCCAGCAGCCGCGGUAAUACGUAGGUGGCAAGCGUUAUCCGGAAUUAUUGGGCGUAAAGCGCGCGUAGGCGGUUUCUUAAGUCUGAUGUGAAAGCCCACGGCUCAACCGUGGAGGGUCAUUGGAAACUGGGAAACUUGAGUGCAGAAGAGGAGAGUGGAAUUCCAUGUGUAGCGGUGAAAUGCGCAGAGAUAUGGAGGAACACCAGUGGCGAAGGCGGCUCUCUGGUCUGUAACUGACGCUGAUGUGCGAAAGCGUGGGGAUCAAACAGGAUUAGAUACCCUGGUAGUCCACGCCGUAAACGAUGAGUGCUAAGUGUUAGGGGGUUUCCGCCCCUUAGUGCUGCAGCUAACGCAUUAAGCAU
rnacentral:rRNA from 1 species